rnacentral:rRNA from 1 species
GUGCCAGCAGCCGCGGUAAUACGGAGGAUGCAAGCGUUAUCCGGAUUCAUUGGGUUUAAAGGGUGCGCAGGUGGGCUUGUAAGUCAGUGGUGAAAUGCUGCCGCUUAACGGUAGAAUUGCCAUUGAUACUGUGAGUCUUGAGUAUGGUUGAGGUAGGCGGAAUGUGCAGUGUAGCGGUGAAAUGCAUAGAUAUUGCACAGAACUCCGAUUGCGAAGGCAGCUUACUAAUCCAUUACUGACGCUGAGGCACGAAAGCGUGGGGAGCGAACAGGAUUAGAUACCCUGGUAGUCCACGCCGUAAACGAUGUUCACUCGCUGUUUGCGAUACACAGCAAGCGGCUGAGCGAAAGCAUUAAGUGAACCACCUGGGGAGUACGAUCGCAAGGUUGAAACUCAAAGGAAUUGACGGGGGCCCGCACAAGCGGAGGAACAUGUGGUUUAAUUCGAUGAUACGCGAGGAACCUUACCUGGGCUUAAAUGUAGAUUGCAUUCCCGUGAAAGCGGGAUUCCCUUCGGGGCUAUUUGCAAGGUGCUGCAUGGUUGUCGUCAGCUCGUGCCGUGAGGUGUCGGGUUAAGUCCCAUAACGAGCGCAACCCCUACUGUUAGUUGCCAUCGGGUGAAGCCGGGGACUCUAGCGGGACUGCCACCGUAAGGUGAGAGGAAGGUGGGGAUGACGUCAAAUCAGCACGGCCCUUAUGUCCAGGGCUACACACGUGUUACGAUGGCCGGUACAAAGGGCAGCUACCUGGUGACAGGAUGCUAAUCCCAAAAGCCGGUCCCAGUUCGGAUUGGAGUCUGCAACCCGACUCCAUGAAG